rnacentral:rRNA from 1 species
GGUCAAGCUAGAAAGGGCUAAUGGU